rnacentral:tRNA from 1 species
GCUCCCGUCGUCUAGUGGCCUAGGACGCCGGCCUCUCACGCCGGUAACGUGGGUUCGAAUCCCAUCGGGAGUACCA